CAGCCGCCGCGGGAAUACGAAGGGGGCUAGCGUUGUUCGGAAUUACUGGGCGUAAAGCGCACGUAGGCGGAUAUUUAAGUCAGGGGUGAAAUCCCGCAGCUCAACUGCGGAACUGCCUUUGAUACUGGGUAUCUUGAGUAUGGAAGAGGUUAGUGGAAUUGCGAGUGUAGAGGUGAAAUUCGUAGAUAUUCGCAGGAACACCAGUGGCGAAGGCGGCUAACUGGUCCAUAACUGACGCUGAGGUGCGAAAGCGUGGGGAGCAAACAGGAUUAGAUACCCCGGUAGUCCCUGUAUCUUAUAU
rnacentral:rRNA from 1 species